CAAUAGCGUAUAUUUAAGUUGUUGCAGUUAAAAAGCUCGUAGUUGGAUUUCGGGUUGGCUUCAGCGGUCUCGCUUUGCGUUUGUACUGCUGCAGCCUACCUUCUUGUCGGGGACGGGCCUUCGGGCUUAAUUGCUUGGGGCCCGGAGUCGACGAUGUUACUUUGAGUAAAUUAGAGUGUUCAAAGCAAGCCUACGCUCUGAAUAUAAUAGCAUGGGAUAACACGACAGGACUCUGGCCUAUCGUGUUGGUCUGUAGGACCAGAGUAAUGAUUAAGAGGGACAGUCGGGGGCAUUCGUAUUCCGUUGUCAGAGGUGAAAUUCUUGGAUUUACGGAAGACGAACAUCUGCGAAAGCAUUUGCCAAGGAUGUUUUCAUUAA
rnacentral:rRNA from 1 species